UUUUCUUUAGGCAGGCAAGCUUCGCUCUAAUCGGCGAAGGAGAGGAAAUCCACAAUCCAUCGAAGCAGCAAACUGCACCCUCCUAUUGCGCUGCACAUCACACAUCAAACAUCACAGAUCACAAUUCCCGAUUUCUCCCUCCUCCUUUCGCUCUCACAAAUUAAUUUGCGCCCCCUUUUCUGAAGGAAACGAAAAAACCCAUAAACAAAACCCUAACCCUAGAUUUGCUCUAGCAGCCGUAGCAACAACGAAUGGCAAGCGACAGUGAUGCCUCCCGUCAUAAGCACCACCGGUCGCCAUCUGAUGAUGAGGCGGAGAAGUCCUCCAAGCGACACAAACACCGACACCGCCGCCAUCACCGUUGCCACCGAAGCAAGACGCACGGUGAGGCAAGUAAACAUGAUCGUGAUGAAAUUGCUCCUCCUCCUCCAGUGAAUCAUAUUGUGGCUAAUAAUAAUAGGGUUGAUGAUGACGUGGAGGAAGGUGAGAUUUUGGAGGAGGAAGGUUCUGGUGUCAGUGUAAAGGACAUGGAAUUACGCGAGGACAAAACGGAUUCCCAAAAUCUGGGAAUUCAUGCUGACAAUGGUGACAGUGGUUUAACUAAUUCUAGCAAUGCUAAUAAGUUAGACAUGGAAGUUAGUUUGCCUGAUGAUUCCAGGGCUGAGGUUCGACAUGAAUUGGUUCCUAGAGAUGAGCUUGACGUUCAUGCCAAUGGAGAUUUGGGGCAUGAAUAUCAUAAAUCAGGCAAGAAACAACAUGGGGAACCUGGCUCUUCUAAAGGAAGUUACAAGCGAAAGAGUUACCAUGAUGCUGAUACACCUGAGGAUAAUGAAUGCAAAUUAGGUGAUUGGGGCAAAUCAUCUUCUGAAAGUGGAGGGAAAAAAUACAAGUCUUUGAGAGGUGCAGCUUCUCAUGAUAGGUACCACUAUGAGGUGGGUGCUAGGAGUAGAUCACUGUCGCAUGAUUUUGUUAGGGAGCAUUCUCAUUCCCACAGCAUAAUAGAAGAGGAUGUUCUUUUGAAGAGAGGGCGACACAAUGGAAGGUUUGAGAAUGAUUCCGAUGAUGAAAGAAUGACUCAACAAGAUAGGGAUCUACAGCAUGGCAGCAAAGAUUUGGAGAGGGAGUUCAGUACCAGUUACAGCAGAAGCCUAGGAGGUGGGGACAAGCAUAGCAGCAAGGAUGCACGUGGCAGAGAGGUGAUGAGGGAGAAGGAGAUGGACUGGGAAUGGAGAAGGGAUCAGGAACAAGAGAGGAGCAGGGACAGGGAUCAACAAAGAGAAAAAGAUCGAGAGAAGAUCAGGGACAUGGAUUUGAGAAGAGAGAAGGAAAGGGAGAGAAGCAGGGACAGGGAUGUGAGAAGAGAGAAGGAACAAGAAAGAAGCAGGGAGAAGGCUGUUAGAAGAGAGAAGGGACGAGAGAGGAGCAGGGAAAGGGAUGUGAGAAGAGAGAAGGAAAGGGAGAGGAGCAGGGACAUGGAUGUGAGAAGAGAAAAGGAAAGAGAGAGGAGCAGGGACAGGGAGAUGGACAGGGGGAGAAGAGAGAAGCAACAAGAGAGGAAAUUGGAAAGGGAGGUGGAGAGGGAUAGGAGGAGGGAUAAUGAAUGGGACAGGAGCAGGGACAAGGAGGAGGAGAUGGAAAAGCAAAGGCAGAAAGGAAAAGAUAAAAGCAAAGAUAAAGAUGUGACUAGGUCUAGUGAUAGACACAGAGAUUGGGAAAAGGAGAGGGAGAACAAUAGAGAUAGGCAUAGGGAGAGAGACAGAGUUAGGGACCAAGAUUGGGAGAGUGGAAGGGAUAGGGACAGGCGAAGUAAUAGAGAUAGUGAUAAUUCCAGGGACAGUAAGAGAGAUUUGACAAAAGUACUCUCUCAUGGUGAUACCAUAGAAGGGGACAGAGACAAACGCAAAAGAGAUGAAGAUGAGCAGGAUGAUUUUGAAGAAAGGAUUAAUUUAAAACUAGCUGAACAGGAGGAAGAUCUUGAUAGGGUUAAGGAGGAGAGUAGAAAACGCAGGCAAGCAAUUCUUGAAAAAUUUAGGAAUCAGCAGUCUCUGCAGAAAAAUGAGACUCGAUUGGAGGAUGUGGAAAAAGAUGCUGAACCUGUACAACUUCCUGUCAAAUCACUGCCGGCUCAUAUUGUUGCCCCAGAAACUCAUGAGACUAGGAUUGAUGGUGAUGUCUUUUUAGCUGAUCCAUCUUUUUCUGUCGGCAAGUUGCCUCCGCGAAAUGGAACACAGGAUUCUGAGAGGACUUCUGGUGCUGUGGGGCUUGGAGAGGGUACUCCCAAGAGCGAGAGGUCAGAGGAAAACUACUGUGAUGACAUAUUUGGGGAGACACCUGCUGGAAUUCGUAAAUCGGGCAAAGGAGAUGGUUUGCCAAUUUUGCGGAGUGGUCUUCAUGACAACUGGGAUGACCCUGAUGGGUAUUAUGGCUACCGAUUUGGUGAAAUACUUGAUGGUCGGUAUGAAAUUGUGGCUGCUCAAGGUAAAGGCGUCUUUUCCACAGUAGUCCGUGCAAAGGAUUUGAAGGCUGGUGUUGGUGAACCUGAAGAAGUGGCUAUAAAAAUCAUUCGUAACAAUGAAACAAUGCAAAGAGCUGGUCAGUCAGAGGUUAAGAUAUUAAAUAAACUAGCAGAGCUAGAUCAGGAGAACAAGCGCCAUUGUGUUCGUUUUCUUUCAAGUUUUAAGUAUAGAAAUCAUCUUUGUUUAGUUUUUGAAUCUCUUCAUAUGAACCUUCGUGAGGUCUUAAAGAAGUUUGGUCGUAAUAUUGGCCUUAAACUAACAGCUGUGCGAGCAUAUGCAAAGCAGCUUUUUAUUGCACUGAAACAUCUUAAGAACUGUGGGGUUCUUCAUUGUGAUAUAAAGCCUGAUAACAUGCUGGUAAAUGAAGCAAAAAAUGUGCUGAAGCUUUGUGAUUUUGGUAACGCCAUGUUUUCUGGUAAAAAUGAGAUUACACCAUACCUUGUGAGCCGCUUUUAUCGUGCUCCAGAAGUCAUUCUUGGAUUGCCAUAUGAUCAUCCAAUGGAUAUGUGGUCUGUUGGUUGCUGUUUGUACGAACUUUAUACUGGGAAAGUUCUUUUUCCUGGUCCUACAAACAAUGACAUGUUGCGGCUUCAAAUGGAACUGAAGGGCCCUUUUCCAAAGAAGAUGCUCAAAAAGGGUGCUUUUGUUGACCAGCAUUUUGACCCAGAUUUGAAUUUUCAUGCUACAGAGGACGAUCCUGUUACUAAAAAGACUAUAAAGCGGAUGAUUCUAAAUAUAAAGCCAAAAGAUAUUGGAACAAUUGUUACAAGUUCUCCUGGUGAAGAUCCAAAGUUGUUAGCCAAUUUUAGAGAUCUUCUAGAUAAAAUUUUUGUGUUGGAUCCGGAGAAGAGGAUGACUGUUCAUCAAGCACAAUAUCACCCGUUCAUCACGGGCAAGUGAACCCAUGUUGCUGAUUUUCUGACACCAGAAUUGAUGUUGCGCUAGAUAUUAAUACAUUAUGAGUUCAUAUUCAGUUAUCUAAUCAUUGGGCAUUAUGUCUUUGUCCUCUAUUUGUCUAUGAGCUUUGGACAGUUAAAGCCAUCAUUGAAUUCAGAAAGGGUGAUAUUUGGUCAGGAGUACUCUUAACUGGCGGUUCUUUCAGGGGAAUGUACUGUUUCUAUUGAUAUCAUCCCUUGCUUUGAGGCAAUCCUCCAGUGCUUAAAUGCUUAAAAGGCACCCAGGAGAAGGUACCUUGGUUAGUUUACUGGGAGCUUAUGAUAACAGGCAAAAUACAUUUUAUUUGCAAAAUAUUUGCACAUCAAUAGAAUUUUACUAGUUAAAUUCUGUGUGAAUUUCGUUAUGUUCUUGAGAAUACUUUCUUGGACUGUUCUUUGUUUGUUUGGGUGUGUUUCCUUUCAAUGGUUUCUUCAUUUGCUAUGUGUUGUGCUUUGGAAUGGAAAUUAGCACCCAGUAUAAGCUGAAAUGGUAACAUUAGCCGAGUUGACCGCCAUUUUCUCUGUGCAAAUGUGUCUGUGAACAAGGCAUGUGCUAAGAUUUCUUUAGUAGUUUAUAUUCAUGUUCCUCUGUGGUAGUGAUCGUGUAAACAAGUAGUUUGUUUUCAAUGCUUUAGUUUAUUUUGCCUUAUCUUCACAUAUAUAUAUGCUAAUGAUUUUCUAUACAUCUGAUCCAUGGACUGUCAUUUUGGAUGCAAAGGCUACUGAGAUGUGCUGCUUCAACAAUAAAGUCAAAAGCAUGUGGCAUUGUCUUUGUAGUCCAUCCCUUUUCAAUUCUUGUAAGUAUCUGGAAUCUUUUUAUGGUUACGAACUUAAAUGAGCUUUUUGCUAUAUGAUAUAUAUAUAUAUAUUUUGUUAAAUGUUACCCAAUCUCAUGUUGCCAUAGUAUCAUGUGUAAUCACUGAGAGGUUUAUGGGUCACAUCUUUUGUGUCAUAAUCUGGCACACGCAGUGUGCUUGGUAUAUUCUAUAAUUUGCCGGAGUCUAGCUGAAUUGUGGAGUUUGAGGCCCCCAAAUGCAAUUUCUAGGGCUUGGGCUCUGGGUUGGUCAGUUGGACUUGAAUCAAAGUGUGCAGGAUUUAUAAGGUACUAGAUUUUAGUGGUAUUGUUUUGAAAAUAGUUAACAUAUUUAUAUGAAGCACAAUAUUAUUGUAUUGUAUAUUUGCAUUAGUAAUGUAAAUAUCUUAUACCUUUUCUAUAGAGCACUAGUAUAAUAUUAAAAGAUAAGCUUAAUAUUAAAGAAAAGGAGUAUUUUUGUGCUUGUUGAAGUUAUGUAUAACUAGUUACGUGUCAAUUUUGAUUUAAGAUAACUAGUGUUGCAGUCAUGUGUCAUAGCAUGAAUUUUACGCACAACUAUUGAUUGUUGGUUGAUGGGGCCUGAACAAUAACAAAUGUGGACCACUGAGCUGAGAACGAGCUGAUGCAAUUUACAAUCUAUUUUGUAUUGUCUAUAAUGUGGAAUGGUGAACACAAAAGGUAAAGAAACAAAUUCUCAAAUAAGGGGAUGAGGCAAAUUCUCUGGAGGAGAAGAAAUUCUGGACAAUAAUGUCACGACCUUAACAAAAUGCUUAUAAGAUGAAGGUAUUUAUAGUUUAUCACUUGGUCAUAUUAGUAGCUAAUUGGGAAUACUAAACCAAAAAUUAUGAUACUAAAUAAGUUCAAACUGGGAAAAUAGUAAAAAUAAUAGAAUUCUUAAAUAAUAGAAAUGUGAACUUCCUAAUUCACUAUGAAAACUAUAUCAGCAUAAUUUCUAAAUUGCUUCUUCCUUAACUGCAUCAUUCUCCCUUGGAAAAAAUGUUGACUUUUGAGUUUUAUAGUGCAGAAGAAUUUAUAACUGGAUUUGGAGACUAGGAGCUUUAUAUUCUUAUGUGGUAGCAAUGAGCUUGAAACAAGGAGUUUCAUGCUUCCUUUUGCAUUCCUGAAAAAAUUUGAAUAUACAAAUUCAAUUAAAACUGCAUCUGAAAGACCAAUUCAAUAGGAAUGGAGAAAUUUGAGAAAUCAUCAAUUUCUAUUGCUGGCUUCAUGUUAUGGUUCGGUACUCUUCAAUUUAUAUUGAACUCUCCAUCCCUUGGUUUUGCUUCGUUUGGGAUAAAGAUUCAUUAAGCUUGUCAUGCUCAUGCUCAUCCUCAUUUGACUCUGAUUUUAUUCUUUUCCUAAGAAAAACUUUUGUGGAUGCAAAAUUUCCUGGACUCUUGACUAUUGAUGAGCUAUUAUUACUUGCCAAUUCCAUGUGUAUUCUUAUUUAUUUGAGAGAUUUGAGAGCGCUGCCACUAGGUGCGUAGUUGGAUACUUUGUAGUUUUGAGUACAGGGAAAGCUGUUCUCUUCUUCUUCCUCUUCCCGCCUCCCAGCCCCCCUCCUGUGUGUGUGUGUGUGUGUGGAAGGGAGGUGGAUACAAGAGGCUUUGUUCAGACAACAUUUUGGGAAACAGGUGGCUGUGCGGUGACCGUGGACUUUGUACAGUGGAUACUCUUUCCGGCAGCACAGUGGAUGUAACUUCUUUUAUACUGAAGUUUGUAUUCAUUAUUAAAAUGCGACUGAUUGUUAUGUUUGGUGAUUUGAUUAUUAUUAUUAUUGUUAUGUUUUUCAACUUCAAAUGAGAUUGAAUUGGCAUC